rnacentral:rRNA from 1 species
AAUAUACAAGGUGCUGCAUGGUUGUCGUCAGCUCGUGCCGUGAGGUGUCGGGUUAAGUCCCAUAACGAGCGCAACCCCUGUCCUUAGUUACCAGCACGUUAUGGUGGGCACUCUAAGGAGACUGCCGGUGACAAACCGGAGGAAGGUGGGGAUGACGUCAAGUCAUCAUGGCCCUUACGGCCUGGGCUACACACGUGCUACAAUGGUCGGUACAAAGGGUUGCCAAGCCGCGAGGUGGAGCUAAUCCCAUAAAACCGAUCGUAGUCCGGAUCGCAGUCUGCAACUCGACUGCGUGAAGUCGGAAUCGCUAGUAAUCGUGAAUCAGAAUGUCACGGUGAAUACGUUCCCGGGCCUU